GAGCUUGUCCACACCAGGGCUGCUGUCCACACUCAAAUCCUUGCGCAGGGACAGAAUAUGAGCAGCCAGCCCCUCCCUCAAAGCGAACGGUACAGAGCCACUCCCCCCUCUGUUCAAUUAGUCAGCCUCUCCCUCCACUUACUGCGCAGCAACCAGCCAGCUAGCUCUAGAUGGUGUCUAGACCAGCUCUCUCUUCAGCUAUGCCAGGCUAGUCACAAGGCAAGCAAAGAAGCUGAACUAGUGCUAGUGAGCAAGGCUCAGCCUGAGCCCUAGCCCUCUCCCAGAGUGUCUCUAAAGCAGCUCCUUCUGCAAGCACACAGCAGAAUUUUUGAUGAACUAGUCUACAGACUACACCCUCUGUCUCUAUGUUUUCAUUUAUGUUAUGACAUUUUGUUUCUCAUGCAAGACAUUUUCAUUCAUCGAAAACACCAUUAACUGCAUAUGUUUGAGGUGCCAAUUUAUGAGCCAUAAAUAUUAUUUUCCCUUGUA